rnacentral:misc_RNA from 1 species
AACAAGAUGAGGCUGUGCACCAUCUGAUUGCCAAUAGGUUUCAAGGUUAUCAUCGCGAAGUGAAAGAACUCCAUUGCCAGGUUUAUAAGAGCUGACACUCCAAGCUGCUUUUUUACCCAUCUCCCGGAGAUCAUCAUCCACAACUAACUGCUGGCUUCCUCCUGUUAGUUUCCCUUCUUCCUCACCCUCUGAUGAAUCCGCCAUUGAUUAAGCUCUUAAUUUCAACUAGAUAAAAUCCCCA